rnacentral:rRNA from 1 species
GACGAACGCUGGCGGCGUGCCUAAUACAUGCAAGUCGAACGCAGUGGGGACGGGUGAGUAACACGUGGGUAACCUCCCAUCAGAGGGGAUAACACUUGGAAACAGGUGCUAAACCGAUACUGAUGGAUGGACCAGCGGUGGAUUAGCUAGUGGGUGGGGUAAAGGCUCACCAAGGCCACGAUGCAUAGCCGACCGGAGAGGGUGAUCGGCCACACUGGGACUGAGACACGGCCCAGACUCCUACGGGAGGCAGCAGUAGGGAAUCUUGCGCAAUGGACGCAAGUCUGACCCAGCAACGCCGCGUGAGUGAAGAAGGUUUUCGGAUCGUAAAACGCUGUUGUUAGAGAAGCGGUAUCUAACCAGAAAGCCACGGCUAACUACGUGCCAGCCGCCGCGGUAAUUC